ensembl:lncRNA
AUGCGAGCAAGUGUCUGUAGACUCGUGACUGCUGGCACCAUUUACUGGUUACCAUACACACAGACACCAAACCGAACUACAAACAAACAAACGAGCCGUGUUAAGCGGUUCUCAAUAAGUUCAAUAUUAAAAAUAGACAUAACCUUCCAAGAAGACUCACAUUCUACCGUUUACACAGCCGAUACACCAAGAGACUCACUCUUCAACUCACACCGCAUUAAUGUUUUUCUGUUCAUGUCUCACGACACAUUUAAAGGGACGCGUCACUUACGCCACCUGAUCCAAAUGAUCAGUGCCAAUGAGCAGGCCUUAAAUGUACACUGCCCAUCUCAACCACCUACCCGCUACAUAUAUAUCAAAUAUGUGUGCGUAUGUUUAUUUGUGUCUGUAAUAGAAUUAUUGCUAUGUUGUUGUUCUUGUAGAGAGCACUGUUUCUUCACUGCCUGUGCCCUUGCUGUCAUCAUUUCCUGGUACCCGAACAGAUCCUCAGUCAGAUACAGGAACUACGUGUAUGUCACCUCUGCCUAUGCUGGCCUCGCCUGCGACCCGUACCCGACCUGUGAAGACUGCUGGCAGGGUGUUUGUACUGGACCACAAAUGCCGAGCCCAUUGACAACUUGCUUAAUAAACACCAUAGGAAGAAAAAUUCCUCUACUGAUCCAAACAGCACGCUCCAUCCGACCACAAAACUACAGGUCACAGUAUGUCAAGCACCGGGCCAAACAGCUGAUCACCAGUUCAUCAUUAAACAACUCCAGAGAAGCAUCUUUAAAGCAUGUAGUAAAACACCCAGAGCGCCUGUGGUUACAGUGAAGCCUGUGGAUGUAAACCCCGCAGCACCUGCUCUGACCACACUCCUAACUCACGAGACCAUUGAGAGAAUUGUAUUAUGGAAAGGCAGCCGAGAAAGAAACAAACAAAGACUUGUCUUGCUCGUGGACAGCCAAAGAUGUUUCCUCUAUCCACUUUUUUGUAAUCAGCAAGGCCCUGUCAGGUUCUUCUACUGUUACACAAAGGUUUUUAAUGCUUACAGUGAUUAAGGACUAGCAAACCCCAGAAUGCCAUUCCAAGACUUUAUGGAAAUGGAGCUCUGUAAGAGUGAAUUCGAGGAUACAAAGAAACGGGUGGAAGAGAGAGGACAGCAAAAACUUAAAAAAAAGGCCUGAAGCUGAACAUGUCGGUCACUUGUGCAGAUUUUGUGAAAUGGAACUGAAGCAGGGCCCAAACAGUCCUCACGUACACACAGGCUUUCCUGUGAAAUAUGUUCAGUGCCCUGCUAAAGUCUUUUCCAUUUACCAACAUCAGGGCACUGAGAAAGAGAUGACCUGGAAAGAGUCUAAAGAGUCUGCAUUUUACAAGAAAAAAAGGGCAGAAAAAAAAGAAAUAAAUGAUUAUUUUACCCCUUAGUAAUAUUUAACUGUAUAUACUGUACAUUUUUAUUUUUCAGUGUGAGAUUGUAAUAUCUAUAUAUAUUUUCAGAAUUCUAUUUUUCUUUCUAUUUUAUUACUUUGGAUUGAUCUUAAAAAGUGCUUAAAGCAUUUAAUAAAAAUACAACUGAUAAUUACAAAUUGCUUCAUGAGUGCUGUGUUCCACUUCGUAGGACUAAUAUUUUACAGUUUCUAUGGUUUUGGAAACACUUAAUCGAUCAUUUAACUUUAGUGUGACUUAAAUUAUUCCAUCAAUCAAUUUUCAUUCAGUACUUGAAUAUUGCUCAGUUUGAGUUAAAUUUAAUUGUCGUUUAUUUACAUUUCAAAAGCCAUUUAAUAUUUAAUAUAACCAUUCAUGUUUUUAAUAUAACC